rnacentral:tRNA from 1 species
GCCAGUAUAGCGUAGUGUUUUGAGCAUUGGACUAUGACUCUGGAGACCAGGGUUCGAAUCUCUGUUCAGCA